rnacentral:rRNA from 1 species
UACGGGGGGUGCGAGCGUUGUCCGGAAUCACUGGGCGUAAAGGGCGCGUAGGCGGGCUCGUAAGUCAGGGGUGAAAUCCCACGGCCCAACCGUGGAAGUGCCUCUGAUACUGCGGGCCUCGAGGGGGAUAGGGGCGUGCGGAACUCAGGGUGGAGCGGUGAAAUGCGUAGAUAUCCUGAGGAACACCGGUGGCGAAAGCGGCGCGCUGGAUCCCUUCUGACGCUGAGGCGCGAAAGCCAGGGGAGUAAACGGG